UUCUACAUCUGAAACAAGUUGACAUUCCAUCUUGCCAAAGUUCUGCAAGGGAAACGAAAUGCAAAUUUUGCCAAUUUUGAAUUUUUCAAAUUAACAACAUGAAACUUAACCUAAGAUUUCACGCUUUUCUAAUUCAAUUUCAAAUAUCAAUAUAAGACAUCCAAACAGUUGGAAGGCAACAAAAAUGCAGGAGCAUGAAGGAGGCAGAUAAUUUUUCUAAGUUAAUUCGUCCUUAUUUCAAAGCUCAACUCUGCACCUUGAGACACUAAAAAAGCAUAAGCCAGAAAAUUUUCGCCCUGUAAGUAAAACAUACACGCACCAUGUGUUCCAGAAACGUUUUAACACAGGUUUUCACAUAUGUAUAUACGGUUGAAACAAAUUCAAAGCAUGAGGUCUUCGUAAUACUCAUAAAGAUGUAAAUACAAACAAAUAGAUAUAGAUGACCUGCAGAUAAUCGAGACCGCCAUUGGAGGGGUUCCAUUUAGAAAAGGCCUUCCAAUUCUUAAUGCAUCCGCUAAAUACCUUUCGAAUAAACCUUAAUCAGUACGUUAAUCAAAUAAAAACAACGCUUACAUUAAACAGAGUUGAAACAAAUUCAAAGCAUGAGGUCUUCGUAAUACUCAUAAAGAUGUAAAUACAAACAAAU
rnacentral:lncRNA from 1 species